GCCUGGUUGGCUCAGUCGGUUGAGCAGCCGGCUUCGGCUCAGGUCAUGAUCUCACAGUCUGUGAGUUCGAGCCCCGCAUCGGGCU
rnacentral:tRNA from 1 species